rnacentral:rRNA from 1 species
UACAGAGGGGGCAAGCGUUGUUCGGAAUUACUGGGCGUAAAGGGCGCGUAGGCGGCCGCCUAAGUCAGACGGGAAAUCCCUCGGCUCAACCGGGGAACUGCGUCUGAUACUGGGUGGCUUGAAUCCGGGAGAGGGAUGCGGAAUUCCAGGUGUAGCGGUGAAAUGCGUAGAUAUCUGGAGGAACACCGGUGGCGAAGGCGGCAUCCUGGACCGGCAUUGACGCUGAGGCGCGAAAGCCAGGGGAGCAAACGGG